CAGCGAUUGGCGCUUUCCUGGCCGGAGCAGCUUUGGGGGCAGCGAUCGCUGGAGCAAUGACGGAGGAACUUCGAGUGGAAAUUUCAGCUCUUCGAGGACUUCAGAAUAAACAGAACUUUGUUAUCUCACAAUUAUCUAAAAAUCUGCACUCCGCAUCUUUACUUAUGGAAAGACUUUCUGCAGAACAGGAACUUUUGAAACAUCAUGUUGAUUCACUAAGUAAGGGACCAUGAAGCGAAAGGCACUAAGAAAAUUAAAUCCAAGAAGGAGAAGGACGAAAAGAUCGAGGAAUUAUUCUGAACAGUUGCACUACGCAAAUUGUCAUCUUUGCAUUGAAUUUCAUGUAAAUACAUGGUUUUCAUAUAGUGCAUAUACA